rnacentral:tRNA from 1 species
GGCACCGUAGCUCAGCGGUAGAGCGGGCGCUUCAUAAGCGCUAGGCCACUGGUUCGAACCCAGUCGGUGCCACCA